UGCAACGAUACCCAGAAGGUAUCGAUACCAUGUACUCAUUCGAUACUUCACACUAAGGUAUCGAUACUACUUGAAUACUUGUUUCAAAAGUAUCGAUACCAUGAAGUAUCGAAGUAUCGAUACUUCAAAACAAAAUUCGCAGAACAUACAAUAACAUAUUCUAUGAUGAAAGUUAUCCUGCAUUAUUUAUUAUUUAGAUCUAACCUCAUUCCUCAAAUGAUCAAAACAUCGAAAUUCUAAAUAUUAAGUUGCUCAUUGCUCAAAAUCAUCUCUUUUUUACCUUUGGUUAUAAUGUUUUAUGUGGGCAAGAAAGAAAUUCAUUAAAGUAUUAUGAAUUUUAUUGCAAAAAUAUAAAAAACUGAAAAUGUGGAAUAGAAUUUAGAAACAACAGUUUUCCUAAUCGUUUUCCAAGAAGCCUGUUUCUAUUUUGAACUAAAGUGGCACCAGCUUUUGAAAAAAGCCUUUCAGAUGGAACCGAGGUUGCCACCAAACACAUGUAUUUGAUUCCAACCUUAUACAGCUUAGGAAAUACAUUUUUAGUAUCC